rnacentral:rRNA from 1 species
UACGGGAGGCAGCAGUAGGGAAUCUUCCACAAUGGACGAAAGUCUGAUGGAGCAACGCCGCGUGAACGAUGAAGGCCUUCGGGUCGUAAAGUUCUGUUGUAAGGGAAGAACAAGUGCCGCAGGCAAUGGCGGCACCUUGACGGUACCUUG